AAAAUCCUAAUAGACUUCAAUCAAAUCUUAAACAAACCAUAAACCCUAAAUCAAACCGUCAAUCAAAUUUUGGAUCCUAAAUCAAAUCCUAAAUCAAAUCUUAGACAACUCCUAAAUCCUAAAUCAAAUCCUAAAUCCUAAAAUAAAUCCUAGAUCAAAUCUUAGAUCCUAAAUUCUAAACCAAAUCCUAGACAAAUCCUAAAUCUUAAACCAAAUCUUAGAUCAAACCCUAAUUCCAAACCAAAUCUUAACCAAAUCCUAAUCAACUCAAUCUAAUCCUAGUACUAUUUAGAACCUCAAUAUUUAUCAAUUGAAUCAUU
rnacentral:lncRNA from 1 species